rnacentral:lncRNA from 1 species
UAGGACGAAGUAGGAUUUGCUAACACUGUGAUAAGGAUCAUGGGGAUCGACCCUCCUAUUAUCUCAAUAAUACUUGUUAUAUAUGUGGUAGUACCCAACAUUACGUGAGAGAGUGCCCGCGGAAUCAGAACUAAACCAGACAUCAUAUUCAGAGCAGAGCUUACAACCUAACUCAGCAGGAUGUUGAAGCCAAUACGGACGUGAUUCAAGGUACGUACACUAUCUGUAAUCACCUUACACAUGUUUAGAUUGAUACUGGUACUUCAAAUUCGUUUGUCUCACACACUUGUACACAAAACUUAAAUAUAUCAUCGGAAAGACUUGAUUUUAUGUUGUUUGUAUCUACU